CCCCGGUGUCCCAUAUGGUCCCCCAAGCCAGGAGCGACUUCUGAGCUCAUAGCCAGGAGUAACCCCUUGAGCAGGCUGGGUGUGGCCCAAAAACCAAAAAAAAAAAAAAAAAAAAAAAAAAAAAAAAAAAAAAAAAAAAAAAAAAAAAAAAAAAAAAAAAAAAAAAAAAAAAAGAAAGAAAGAAAA